GGAUUUACUUAAAGCUGCCCGAGUGCC
rnacentral:sRNA from 1 species